rnacentral:lncRNA from 1 species
GCUGUACCGGUACUAAUCCGAUGCAGUACCGAUACUCGGUGCCAAUACCAGUACUCACCAACAGGUACCGAUAUUCGACAUCAAACAUCACAAACCCGAGAGCAACAACUCAAGUAAUCCCUCUGGGGUACUGGUACACCUCUAAAGUACCAGUACUCAACACUCGAAAUCCUGCUUUUGCAAAUUUCAGUGUUCGAACUCCAACUCUCACAGCUCUCAAUCCGUUUUCGCGUCUAUUUCGCGUCAAAACCCCUCUAACUCGUCCCGAUACUCUACAGAUAUAUUGACAAGUCACUAAUGCUACAGUCAGUCCGAUAACUAAACUCCAGAGACACUACAAAAAAAGCCUUUCUACUUGGGCAUAUUAAAUUAUAUGAAAAAUAAAAAUAUUAUUUAAAAAAUUUAUA